UACGGAGGGGGCUGGCGUUAUUCGGAAUUACUGGGCGUAAAGCGCGCGUAGGCGGUUUUCCAAGUUGGAGGUGAAAUCCCGGAGCUUAACUCCGGAACUGCCUUCAAAACUGGAUGACUAGAGGUCGAGAGAGGUAAGGGGAAUUCCUAGUGGAGAGGUGAAAGGCGUAGAUAUGAGGAAGAACACCAGUGGCGAAGGCGCCUUACUGGCUCGAUUCUGACGCUGAGGUGCGAAAGUGUGGGGAGCAAACAGG
rnacentral:rRNA from 1 species